rnacentral:rRNA from 1 species
UAAGGAAUCUUCCACAAUGGGCGAAAGCCUGAUGGAGCAACGCCGCGUGUGUGAUGAAGGGUUUCGGCUCGUAAAACACUGUUGUAAGAGAAGAAUGACAUUGAGAGUAACUGUUCAAUGUGUGACGGUAUCUUACCAGAAAGGAACGGCUAAAUACGUGCCUG